CAGGCACUGCAGGAGGAGAGUCGCUACCUACGGGCAGUCUUAGCCAACGAGACUGGACUGGCUCGCUUGCUGAGCCGGCUGAGCGGCGUGGGACUGCGGCUGACCACCUCGCUCUUCAGAGACUCGCCCGCCGGUGACCACGACUACGCUCUGCCGGUGGGAAAGCAGAAGCAGGACCUGCUGGAAGAGGACGACUCGGCGGGAGGAGUCUGUCUCCAUGUGGACAAGGAUAAGGUGUCGGUGGAGUUCUGCUCGGCGUGCGCCCGGAAGGCGUCGUCUUCUCUUAAAAUGUAGGGUCAAGUAAUCUGCUCUUUAUCCGCGUUUACCCCUUUCAACUCCCUUACACCAUGUCAAACUUACCUUAGUGGGACAUCUUCACCGGACACAUUUCAGAGGAGAGAAAAAAAGUAAUAUUGAAUCUUAAAGUGUUUAGCUAAAAGCAUGAAUGUGACACAGUAACCAACUCCUAAUGAUAACAUGUGACUAUUAAAUCUCUCUGACAGUUUCUUUUUUAGGUGAUUUCCUUCCUGCCAGGCUCCGUUGUAGGGGUUACAGAACAGUCGUUCCCGCCUCACAACCUGACUUGCGUGUACCUAGCUCUUCUGUCCCCAGUGUGGACAUGGCCUUGGAUGACAUCGGUUCCAACUGUACACUGAAACCUGCUUAUAGAGAGACAGUUUGGAGACAGUGAAACAGUGGAUACAGCUGUUGGGGCAGAAGAGACGGGACCAGCUGCUGGCCACAUUUCCUGCUUUAUUUUAAAAGUUAUGGGCUCAAAGAAUUUAUUCAUCUCUAACAUGAUAUUGGAAAAUAAUGGAUGAAAAUAGGAAAAAUGAUUGUUAAUGCUGACUGUGGGUCUUAAAAGGUUCUGGAAAGCACUUAGCAGUGUCUGCAAAAACGAAUCUUUUCCUACAACCUGUUAACUGACUGGACUGUUGGUAACAAAGUAAUUGUGAGAACCAUGUCGGUCAAAAAUUUGGCAUCUGCUGAAAAAAAUGAAUGCCAUUUUCAAGUUCCCAAAUUACUUCUAUACUGAUUUCACUUUCCAGAAAUGGAGAUAUGAAAAGAUUCUCUGGAAUCCUUGAAAGACUUAAUAGAGAUACAUGAGACUAAGUUAAUCUUGGAACAAAAUUAUACUUUU
rnacentral:lncRNA from 1 species